rnacentral:rRNA from 1 species
CCCUUAGAUGUUCUGGGCUGCACACGUGCUACACUGGCAGGUUCAGCGAGCUUCAUGCCCUGAUCUGAAAGGAAUGGGAAAUCUUUUCAAAACCUGCCGUGCUUGGGAUAGAUGUUUGCAAUUAUUCAUCUUCAACGAGGAUUGCCUUGUAAGCGCACGUCAUCAGCGUGCAUUGAAUACGACCCUGUAUUCUGUACACACCGCCCGUCGCUCCUACCGAUUGAAGUUUUCGGUGAGUUGACAGGAGGAUUUUUUUGAAACUGGUUCGCCAGUGGAUUUUAGAUCCAAAUGCCAACGAAUCGAUUGCUUUAGAGGAAGGAGAAGUCGUAACA